UGGUUCUAGAAUGUGACAAUACUGAUGUAAAUUCAGUUACAUGUAUAGCUCGGUAUAUAAAGUUUUGCAAAGAUAAAUAUUUUUAAAUCUGUCUUAAGCCUUUGGUUCCAUGGUUAUUACCCUUUAUGCCUGAAACAGGUCCAUGGCAGACAGAAGGGAGCCCACUUGCAGACACCGAAGAGGCAAGAACAAUGUGUUUGGGUUUGUGUUUGUCAAACAUUUUCAUAGGGAUGCGGGUGUUUAAAAGUGUAUUCCAUCUGCACCAUGUACUUACGAUUGAAAUUGCAUCUUCAAGUAUGGGUAGCUAACAAAAAAAAGCAAUACAGAGACCCAUAUAGUUUAUAUCUUUAUAAUUAGAAUCAUACUUGAAUCAGCACGAUUGUCUGGUAUAGGGCUUCUAUCAAAAACAGUGCACACUAGUUAUAGGCCCUGUUGUUCAUCCUACGAAAUUCAAGUAGUUUUAAGCCCUUUUUAUUCAUCCAUCAAAAUUUUGGUAAUUUGAUCCUUAUUGCAGUGUCCGAAUAUAUAUUCAAAACUGUCUCUUAACUUCAUAAGUAUCACUAAUAUUUUUCGUUUUUCCAACUAAUAGAAAAGGUCGAAGUGAAAGUUGACUCUGCUAACAGAGUUGUGCGGUGUCAUUUAGUUUAGCAUAAACAUAUGUGGUUUAGGUAAACUGCAAUUGGAAUUUGAAGAGCUGUGUAACGUGUGAUGUGAUAGAGUUUAUUUACCAUACUAGAAUCUAUUUAGUACUGGUAGGUUAGUAAAUGUGUAAAAUUAAUUGCAUAUUACAAGAAUGAUAAUCCCUCCCUCCCUCGGUGUUGCAAUGUGUCCUAUGCCAUAAUAGAAUUGCAUAUUACAAGAAUGGUAAUAUGCAUUAUGCUUCUUUCUGUCUUCUGGUUCGACAUAUGCUUAUUCUGCCUUGAUCCUUCAAUUAUCAACUGCGCAUAUAUAUAAUUGUCCCGCAGGAUGGAAUCGAAAGCAGUCAUUUAUGCAUUCAAGGAUUCAAUAGCAGUAAUGUCAUUUUUAAUCUAUCGAUCGUCAGGUUGUGUCUUAAGGCGAAGGCAUCUUGGCUUGAAGGUUCAUGGAAGACAAAAGGCAAACCACUCGCCGUAGUUGGAAAAAAAAAAAAGGAAGGAGGAGCACCGCGUCAUAGACACGCAAGUAACAACAACAGUUAUAGUUGGUUCACGUGUUGUAAUUAUUUGUUCUUGUUGUUAUUACUGCUAAAACAGCAGAAUGGGAGAACAUAAAAGAAUAUGUAAUCAUUUGUUCUUGUUUUUGUUGUUGUCACUGCUGAGAACAACAGAAUGGGAGACACGUAGAUUGUUGGAUAACACCGAUGUCCCAGCCAUAUUUGGGACGAGGAGGUUUGUUUUGUGGUACCACUGAACUGAUGUCGAUGAGUCCUCCUGUUUUUUGUAGUUUAUUUUAAUUAUCAGAACAUUGUUGUUCCCUUCUCUUGACUUUAAAUAUCGUAAUGGUGUUUUUCCCUAUU